GGAAUACCCGCUGAACUUAAGCAUAUCAGUAAGCGGAGGA
rnacentral:rRNA from 1 species